UACGUAGGGUCCGAGCGUUGUCCGGAAUUACUGGGCGUAAAGAGCUCGUAGGUGGUUUGUCGCGUUGUUCGUGAAACUCACAGCUCAACUGUGGGCGUGCGGGCGAUACGGGCAGACUAGAGUACUGCAGGGGAGACUGGAAUUCCUGGUGUAGCGGUGGAAUGCGCAGAUAUCAGGAGGAACACCGGUGGCGAAGGCGGGUCUCUGGGCAGUAACUGACGCUGAGGAGCGAAAGCGUGGGGAGCGAACAGG
rnacentral:rRNA from 1 species